AUUGAACGCUGGCGGCAGGCCUAACACAUGCAAGUCGAACGAGCGGCGGACGGGUGAGUAAUGUCUGGGGAUCUGCCCGAUGGAGGGGGAUAACUACUGGAAACGGUAGCUAAUACCGCAUACUAUCGGAUGUACCCAUAUGGGAUUAGCUAGUAGGUGGGGUAAAGGCUCACCUAGGCGACGAUCUCUAGCUGGUCUGAGAGGAUGAUCAGCCAAACUGGGACUGAGACACGGUCCAGACUCCUACGGGAGGCAGCAGUGGGGAAGAGUGCGCAAUGGGCGAAAGCCUGACGGAGCAAGGCCGCGUGAGUGAAGAAGGUCUUAGGGUUGUAAAGCACUGUAAGUGGGGAGGCGUUACCCGAAGAGGAAGCACCGGCUAACUACGUGCCAGCAGCCGCGGUAAUAC
rnacentral:rRNA from 1 species